AUUGAACGCUGGCGGCAGGCCUAACGCAUGCAAGUCGAGCGGAUGAAGGGAGCUUGCUCCUGGAUUCAGCGGCGGACGGGUGAGUAAUGCCUAGGAAUCUGCCUGGUAGUGGGGGAUAACGUCCGGAAACGGGCGCUAAUACCGCAUACGUCCUGAGGGAGAAAGUGGGGGAUCUUCGGACCUCACGCUAUCGGAUGAGCCUAGGUCGGAUUAGCUAGUUGGUGGGGUAAAGGCCUACCAAGGCGACGAUCCGUAACUGGUCUGAGAGGAUGAUCAGUCACACUGGAACUGAGACACGGUCCAGACUCCUACGGGAGGCAGCAGUGGGGAAUAUUGGACAAUGGGCGAAAGCCUGAUCCAGCCAUGCCGCGUGUGUGAAGAAGGUCUUCGGAUUGUAAAGCACUUUAAGUUGGGAGGAAGGGCAGUAAGUUAAUACCUUGCUGUUUUGACGUUACCAACAGAAUAAGCACCGGCUAACUUCGUG
rnacentral:rRNA from 1 species